rnacentral:rRNA from 1 species
GUGUCAGCAGCCGCGGUAAGACAGAGGGUGCAAACGUUGCUCGGAUUUACUGGGCGUAAAGCGCAUGUAGGCGGGACGAUAAGUCGGGUGUGAAAUCCCUGGGCUCAACCUAGGAACUGCAUCCGAAACUGCCGUUCUGGAGUAGUGGAGAGGAAAGCGGAAUUCCGGGUGUAGAGGUGAAAUUCGUAGAUAUCCGGAGGAACACCAGUGGCGAAGGCGGCUUUCUGGACACUAACUGACGCUGAGAUGCGAAAGCGUGGGGAGCAAACAGGAUUAGAAACCCUCGUAGUCC